ensembl:snRNA U2 U2 spliceosomal RNA
AUCGCUUCUCGGCCUUUUGGCUAAGAUCAAGUGUAGUAUCUGUUCUUAUCAGUUUAAUAAUAAAACUACAUUCACACACUUAGCAUGUGUCCUAAUUGUAAUUUUAUAAAAAAAGAAAUAAUU